GGAGCUGGCCGGGUGGCCGCGGCCCGGGUUCGCCCGGGUCGAGGAAAGUCCGGACUCCACAGGGCAGGACGCUGGGGAAAGUCCCAGGCGGGGCGACCCGUGGAAAGUGCAACAGAAAGCAGACCGCCUUCGCUUGCGGAGGUAAGGGUGAAACGGUGAGGUAAGAGCUCACCAGCGUGCCGGGUGACCGGUGCGGCUAGGUAAACCCCGUCCGGAGCAAGGCCAAGCAGGAGGUAUGGGCGGCCCGUCCACAAUGCCUCCGGGUAGGCCGCACGAGGCGAGCGGCAACGCUCGCCCCAGAUGGAUGGCCACCGCCGGGCGCGAGCGAUCGUCGCCCGGUACAGAAUCCGGCUUACAGGCCGGCUCCCACG
rnacentral:RNase_P_RNA from 1 species